AAUCAACGCUGGCGGCGUGCCUCAGACAUGCAAGUCGAACGAUUAAAGCUCUCUUCGGAGAGUGCAUAGAGUGGCGCACGGGUGAGUAACACGUAAGUAAUCUACCUUCGAGUGGGAGUAACGUCCGGAACGGACGCUAAUACCGCAUAAUGCAGCGGCAUCGCAAGAAUGACAGUUGUUAAAGGAGCAAUUCGCUUGAAGAGGAGCUUGCGGCAGAUUAGCUUGUUGGUAAGGUAACGGCUUACCAA
rnacentral:rRNA from 1 species